rnacentral:rRNA from 1 species
AACAAACGCUGGCGGCGUGCCUAAUACAUGCAAGUCGAACGGGGUAGCAAUACCUAGUGGCGCACGGGUGAGUAACGCGUGGAUAAUCUGCCUUAGAGUGGGGGAUAACUAGCCGAAAGAUUAGCUAAUACCGCAUAAGACCACAAGAACUGCGGUUCAAGGGGUCAAAGGUUUUUCGCUCUAAGAUGAGUCCGCGUAAGAUUAGCUAGUUGGUGAGGUAAUGGCUCACCAAGGCGACGAUCUUUAACUGGUCUGAGAGGAUGAUCAGUCACACUGGAACUGAGACACGGUCCAGACUCCUACGGGAGGCAGCAGUAGGGAAUAUUUCACAAUGGAGGAAACUCUGAUGCAGCGACGCCGCGUGAGUGAUGAAGGCCUUCGGGUCGUAAAGCUCUGUCGCAGGGGAAUAACACAAUGAAUGUACCCUGUAAGAAAGGAUCGGCUAACUUCGUGCCAGCCGCCGCAGUAAUAC